rnacentral:rRNA from 1 species
ACUUCCUUGAGUGAGUCUUCUGAGUAACCGAUUAAAUCAAUCAAAACUUUCAACAACGGAUCUCUUGGUUCUGGCAUCGAUGAAGAACGCAGCGAAAUGCGAUAAGUAAUGUGAAUUGCAGAAUUCAGUGAAUCAUCGAAUCUUUGAACGCACAUUGCGCCCGCCAGUAUUCUGGCGGGCAUGCCUGUUCGAGCGUCAUUACAUCCCUCAAGCCCCCGGGCUUGGUGUUGGGGAUCGGCGAGCCUUAGCGCCCGCCGUCCCCUAAAUUUAGUGGCGGUCACGCUGUAACUUCCUCUGCGUAGUAGCACACUUAGCACUGGGAAACAGCGCGGCCACGCCGUAAAACCCCCCAACUUUUGAACGUUUGACCUCGAAUCAGGUAGGACUACCCGCUGAACUUAAGCAUAUCAAUAAGCGGAGGAAC